GCCGAUGUAGCUCAGUUGGUAGAGCAAUUGCUUCGUAAGCAAUGGGCCAGAGGUUCAAAUCCUCUCAUCGGCU
rfam:Candidatus Endomicrobium trichonymphae strain CET450 CET450_Contig41, whole genome shotgun sequence.